AUUGAACGCUGGCGGCAGGCUUAACACAUGCAAGUCGAGCGGGGUGAUGGUGCUUGCACUAUCACUUAGCGGCGGACGGGUGAGUAAUGCUUAGGAAUCUGCCUAUUAGUGGGGGACAACAUCUCGAAAGGGAUGCUAAUACCGCAUACGUCCUACGGGAGAAAGCAGGGGAUCACUUGUGACCUUGCGCUAAUAGAUGAGCCUAAGUCGGAUUAGCUAGUUGGUGGGGUAAAGGCCUACCAAGGCGACGAUCUGUAGCGGGUCUGAGAGGAUGAUCCGCCAAACUGGGACUGAGACACGGCCCAGACUCCUACGGGAGGAAGCAGUGGGGAAUAUUGGACAAUGGGGGGAACCCUGAUCCAGCCAUGCCGCGUGUGUGAAGAAGGCCUUAUGGUUGUAAAGCACUUUAAGCGAGGAGGAGGCUCUUUUGGUUAAUACCCAAGAUGAGUGGACGUUACUCGCAGAAUAAGCACCGGCUAACUCUGUGCCAGCCGCCGCGGUAA
rnacentral:rRNA from 1 species